rnacentral:lncRNA from 10 species
GUGAGCCACCUGCUCGACCCCGCCCACCCCCUCCUCCACGGGCCCCUCCCCCAGCACCAUGGCAGAUGCGGGGCUUCGCAUGUCCCGGGGACCCUCAUUGCCCUCAGAGUCCUGGCCACCCUCACCCUCCUGACUUUGACCUGCUGCUGUCUAAAAAGCAGUGCCCACCCCCCGGACUUUCAGCGGCUCACCCCGCUCCCCGGCUCCCCCUGCCUCAGGCCUGCAGGCCCGGUGAGGGCUCACUCGCUGGCAGGGCUGGGGGUGUCCUGUCCCCAGGAAGGCCGCAGCUGGUCUCCACUCAGUCUGAAUGAGGGGUGACUGGAAGCCCCCCUCAGGGGGGCCUAGUCCCUCCUAGCUGCCUACCCCGCCAUCCCCACCUCGAGGGCUUGACGGGCACUAGAAGGGCCCUCAGCUUUGGAUAGAAGGAGGACCCCCACCCCACAUUGCUUCACAGAAAGGAGGAGUAUUUGCCUCGAACAUGACAAGUGCUCAGAACAACUGUUCCUGUUGCCGGAGUGACAGGGAAUCCAGGAGGGGAGGGCGGUGUAGACACAGGUGGGGCUCCUGCACUGGCCCCACAGGUGUCAGGCGUGGAGGAGGGAGGGACUGGGCAGAAGCGGCCCCUCCCCGGCCUGGGGCUUGGGAUCUUUCCGGGAGACACCGAGGGAGACAGUAGAGGCCGCUCCUCCCUGCUGCGCGGCACCCCCACCCCCCCGCAGGGGUGGAUGGGCACCUCGGAGGCAAGCCAGGGGCUGGUGGGGGCCGGAACAGUGGCGGGAUUUCUGCAGGUGUGACCGGGGUUUCUAAUCAGGUGACUUGGCGUUCAUCAGAAGGGAGGUUGAUCUGGCCGAGCCUGGCUAGCUCAGGUGCACCCUUUAAGAGGCUGGAAGCCACAGAGCCGCCCCCUCCUGAUGCCAAAGAAGCAUAUGGCCAUCGGCUCCACAGCUGCGAGAAAGAUUAUGCACACAACGACAUGCGCUCAGGAGGGGACCUCGCGCCUCGGUUGAGAUCCCAGCCCUGGCUGACACCUUGAGUGCAGCCUGUGAGACCCUGAGCAGAGGUUCAGCAGUCCCCUCCCCGGACUCCUGCCACACAGAAGCCAUGAGCUGACAGAACCAAGGACACACACCUUGUUAACGACGCCCUCAAGGCUGUGAGGAGAAAGACAACCGGGUGAAGCAACGCUGGGAAUUCAACGCAUCAAUUACCUUCCCAGGUAACAGCAGCUACUUGAGCUCCUAAGAGUUGACCUUCAGCUGCUGUCAUGGAAAAUAGUGGGGGUCAACUAGACAUCAAAGAUGAAAGGCCAGGCCUCCAGCACAACUUUCUCUGUAAGCUCGAUAGUGGCUUUCUCAAAGAAAUCCUUUUCUCAAAAAAAUUUCUUGUAAAGACAGGGUCUUGUUCUGUCACCCAGGCUGGACUGCAGUGCAUGGCUCACUGCAGCCUCAACCUCCCGGGCUAGAGUGAUCCUCCCCUUUUCUGAGGAGCUCAGACCACAAGCGUGCACCACUGUGCCCAGCUGAUUUAUAAACUUUUUUUUUAGAGACAGGGUUUCACCAUGUUGGCCAGGCUGUUUUCUUUCAAGGUUUCACCAUGUUGGCCAGGCUGUUUUCUUUUCUUCUCUUUUUUUGAGAUGGAGUUUCACUCUUGUUGCCCAGGCUGGAGGGCAGUGGCGCGAUCUUGGCUCACUGCAACCUCCGCCUCCCAGGUUCAAGUGAUUCUCCUGCCUCCCAAGCAGCUGGGAUUACAGCGUAGCUGGGAUUACAGGCAUGCGUCACCAUGUCCAGCUAAUUUUGUAUUUUUAGUAGAGACGGGGUUUCUCCAUGUUGAUCAGGAUGGUCUCGAACUCCUGACCUCAGGUGAUCCGCCUGCCUCAGCCUCCCAAAGUGCUGGGAUUACAGGCGUGAGCCACUGUGCCUGGCCAACUUGGAUUUGUUACUGUUAUACAGGACAUGGCCCUUAAUAUUCACAUGAAUGACAGUGAGACACACAAUGCUUUCUAAAGAUUGGUUUUGGCCGGGUGUGGUGGUGCACACCUGUAAUCCCAGUUACUCGGGAGGCUGAGGCAGGAGAAUCACUUGAACCCAGGAGGCAGAGGUUGCAGUGAGCCAAGAUGGCUCCAUUGCACUCCAGCCUGGGCAACAAGAGCAAAACUCUGACUCAAGAAAAAAAAAAGGUUGGGCACAGUGACUCACGCCUGUAAUCCUAGCACUUUGGGAGGCCAAGACAGGCGGAUCACGAGGUCAGAAGAUCAAGACCAUCCUGGCUAACAUGGUGAAACCCCGUCUCUACUAAAAAUACAAAAAAUUAGCUGGGCUUGGUGGCAGGCACCUGUAGUCCCAGCUACUCGGGAGGCUGAGGCAGGAGAAUGGUGUGAACCCGGGAGGCGGAGCUUGCAGUGAGCCGAGAUCGCGCCAGUGCACUCCAGCCUGGGCAACAGAGCAAGACUCAGUCUCAAAAAAAAAAAAAAAAAAAAAAACAAAGACUGGUUUCACAUUCUGUUUAUAUGAAUAAUUUGUGUGUGCACAAAAGCAGUCUGCUCAGUGGGUGCCUGGCCUGGGGCAUCAGUUCUGAGCUGGAAGAGAUGAGGAUGCCCACAGCCCUGCCUCUGCCCCACAGCCUGCCUGUACCUGGGUCCUCCUGCUGGGCCGUGGUGGGGAGCCGCUCCCGUUGCCUCAAGGCCUCCAGGCCUGCCAGGUCAGGCUGAUGGCAGUGG